GAUGAACGCUGGCGGCGUGCCUAAUACAUGCAAGUCGAGCGAACAGACGAGGAUCUUGCUCCUCUGACGUUAGCGGCGGACGGGUGAGUAACACGUGGAUAACCUACCUAUAAGACUUGGAUAACUUCGGGAAACCGGAGCUAAUACCGGAUAAUAUAUUGAACCGCAUGGUUCAAUAGUGAAAGACGGUUUUGCUGUCACUUAUAGAUGUAUCCGCGCCGCAUUAGCUAGUUGGUAAGGUAACGGCUUACCAAGGCAACGAUGCGUAGCCGACCUGAGAGGGUGAUAGGCCACACGGGAAGUGAGACACGGUCCAGACUCCUACGGGAGGCAGCAGUAGGGAAUCUUCCGCAGUGGGCGAAAGCAUGACGGAGCAACGCCGCGUGAGUGAUGAAGGUCUUGGGAUCGUAAAACUCUGUUAUUGGGGAAGAACAAAUGUGAAAGUAACUAUGCACGGCUUGACGGUACCUAAUCAAAAAGCCACGGCUAACUACGUG
rnacentral:rRNA from 1 species